GAUGAACGCUAGCGGGAGGCCUAACACAUGCAAGUCGAACGGGAUUGGUAGCAAUACCAUGAGAGUGGCGCACGGGUGAGUAACGCGUAUGCAACCUACCUGUAACAGAGGGAUAGCCCAUAGAAAUGUGGAUUAAUACCUCAUAGUCCUGGAGAGUCGCAUGGCUUUUCAGGUAAAACUCCGGUGGUUUGAGAUGGGCAUGCGUGACAUUAGCUUGUUGGUGAGGUAACGGCUCACCAAGGCAACGAUGUCUAGGGGGUCUUAAAGGAUGAUCCCCCACACUGGUACUGAGACACGGACCAGACUCCUACGGGAGGCAGCAGUGAGGAAUAUUGGUCAAUGGGCGCAAGCCUGAACCAGCCAUCCCGCGUGUAGGAUGAAAGCCCUAUGGGUUGUAAACUACUUUUUUAUGGGAAGAAAAUUCUGUACGUGUACAGAACUGACGGUACCAUACGAAUAAGCAUCGGCUAACUCCGUGCCAGCAGCCGCGGUAAUACGGAGGAUGCAAGCGUUAUCCGGAUUUAUUAGGUUUAAAGGGUGUGUAGGCGGAGCAGUAAGUCAGUGGUGAAAUCCUGCGGCUUAACCGUAGAACUGCCAUUGAAACUACUGCCCUUGAGUACAGUUGAGGUAGGCGGAAUGUGUCAUGUAGCGGUGAAAUGCAUAGAGAUGACACAGAACACCGAUUGCGUAGGCAGCUUACUAAACUGUUAUUGACGCUGAGGCACGAAAGCGUGGGGAGCGAACAGGAUUAGAUACCCUGGUAGUCCACGCCGUAAACGAUGAUUACUCGUUGUAUGCGAUACACAGUAUGCGACUGAGCGAAAGCAUUAAGUAAUCCACCUGGGGAGUACGAUCGCAAGAUUGAAACUCAAAGGAAUUGACGGGGGCCCGCACAAGCGGAGGAACAUGUGGUUUAAUUCGAUGAUACGCGAGGAACCUUACCUGGGCUAAAAUGUAGUAUGACCGUACCCGAAAGGGUAUUUUCUUCGGACGUUUUACAAGGUGCUGCAUGGUUGUCGUCAGCUCGUGCCGUGAGGUGUCGGGUUAAGUCCCAUAACGAGCGCAACCCCUAUCUUUAGUUGCCAGCGAGUAAUGUCGGGGACUCUAAAGAAACUGCCCGCGCAAGCGGAGAGGAAGGUGGGGACGACGUCAGGUCAUCACGGCCCUUAUGUCCAGGGCUACACACGUGCUACAAUGGCGGAUACAAAGGGCAGCUACCUGGUGACAGGAUGCUAAUCUCGAAAGUCCGUCCUAGUUCGGAUCGAAGUCUGCAACUCGACUUCGUGAAGCUGGAAUCGCUAGUAAUCGCGCAUCAGCCAUGGCGCGGUGAAUACGUUCCCGGGCCUUGUACACACCGCCCGUCAAACAAUGGAAGCUGGGGGUACCUGAAGUCGGUCACCGUAAGGAGCCGCCUAGGGUAAAAUCAGUAACUGGUGUU
rnacentral:rRNA from 1 species